rnacentral:snRNA from 1 species
GUCUUUUCGGAGACAUCCGAUAAAAUUGGAACGAUACAGAGAAUAUUAGCAUAGCUCUUGCGCGAGGAUGAAAUGCACAAAUCGAGAAAUAGUCCAAAUUUGU